GCCUAUGGAUUCUUCAUCAUCUCCGCGUUCUUCACACUUUUUUCCGCCAUAACUCUCGUCCUGGCAUCCCGAGAUUUCAAGCGGAAGUUAAAACAGGAUUAUCCUGACCGGAGAUACUGAGAGACACACAGACAAAACAGACAUUGUAUGUUAUCUCAACUAUGCAAGAAGAAAGAAUUUAUAAACAGUUUUGUGUGAGUGGUAUACCAAUCCAUAUUUAUCAUUUUUCUGAAAUGUUUGGAGGAUCAGUUAUCCUUCAUGUAAAAUUUUUAUACAACAUGAAUUCAAAAGAAUUUUUUUAGAGAUUUACAUAAGAAAUUUAUGAAAAAAAAGGCAGAAAGCAAAAAUUAUUAAUUAAGGUGCCUGAGCUACAGCUAAAGCCUGAAUGAAUGAAAGCAUGUAUGUAUGUUUUUUAUGACUUCACCAUUCAUUGUAAAUACAUAAAUAUCACAUGUAUAAAACAGUGCCAUUGUUUGUAAGGAACCAGUUUAUCCCAUUGUUUGUAAGGAACCAGUUUUAUAGCCAUGCGACUUUUAUAUUGACUCAAACCCUGUAUAUGAUAUCUGUUUAUAUAUUUUGUAUGCAAUGACUUCUCUUUGUAUAGACUUAUAUAUGGUUUUAUACCUCACAUUCCAAUCAUCUAGCUAGCAUUGAUUCCUCUUGCUGUAUGAUCAGCCAUUGGAUUAUCUCAUUAUUUUUUGAUCCAUGAAUUAUCUGCAUUCCUUCAUUGGUUGGUCUACAUUUUUUAUUGGUUUUUUUUUAUAGAGGAUAUGUCAUAAUUUUUAAUAAACUGGACAAUAUCGACAGAUUUUCUGUUUAAAGAUCUUUGCAUCCAUUCUGAGUGAUUUUGACAAUUGUUAAUGUACAAAUGAUGCACAGGGACCAAGCCUGUUUUAGCAUUAAUUUCAAUGUAACAUUGAAAUUAAAGUUAAAAAGGACUUGGUCCCUGUGGAAUGAUGGACAAAUUAAAUGAAGAGAUCAAUAGAUUAAGUUCUGUUGAUAGUUUAACAAUAUAUAUGUAUUGUGUGAUAAAUUCAGAGGAAACCUCUCUCCUUCAUCCAUAUAAUUGAUUUAUUUGUAUAAUGUUAAUCAGUUGUCUGAUAUUUAUAUAUACCUGUAGUAUCCAUAUAUUUUUUCAUUUUUAUGAUACAUUUCCCAUGAGAUACAAUAAACUAUUGAUAACUAUG
rnacentral:misc_RNA from 1 species